rnacentral:tRNA from 1 species
GAGUAAAAUAACAUUAGUUUCGACCUAAUAAUAUGAGAUUUUAAACUCUUUACUUG